GGAGAGGUGGCAGAGUGGUCGAAUGCACCGCACUCGAAAUGCGGCAUACCUGCAAGGGUAUCGUGGGUUCAAAUCCCACCCUC
rnacentral:tRNA from 1 species